rnacentral:tRNA from 1 species
GGCUGCGGUGGUGUAGUGAAAACACAAAGGGCUGUGAAUCCUUUAUCCCGGGUUCAAUUCCCGGCUGCGUCC